GUGAGGAAUUUUCCGCAAUGGGCGAAAGCCUGACGGAGCAAUGCCGCGUGAAGGAUGAAGGCCUAUGGGUUGUAAACUUCUUUUCUCAGAAAAGAAUUAUGACGGUAUCUGAGGAAUAAGCAUCGGCUAACUCUGUGCCAGCAGCCGCGGUAAGACAGAGGAUGCAAGCGUUAUCCGGAAUGAUUGGGCGUAAAGCGUCUGUAGGUUGUUUAAAAAGUAUUCUGUCAAAGAUUAGGGCUUAACCCUAGAUAGGCAGAAUAAACUUUUAAGCUAGAGUUUGGUAGAGGCAGAGGGAAUUCCCGGUGGAGCGAUGAAAUGCGUAGAUAUCGGGAGGAACACCAAAGGCGAAGGCACUCUGCUGGGCCAAUACUAACACUGAGAGACGAAAGCGAGGGGAGCAAAUGGGAUUAGAAACCCCAGUAGUCC
rnacentral:rRNA from 1 species